CCUACGGGCGGCUGCAGUAAGGAAUAUUGGUCAAUGGAGGAAACUCUGAACCAGCCAUCCCGCGUGAAGGAUGAAGGGGCUCUGCCUUGUAAACUUCUUUUGUCUGGGGCGAAAAAGCUCGAUUUAUCGAGAACUGACGGUACCAGAAGAAUAAGCACCGGCUAACUCCGUGCCAGCAGCCGCGGUAAUACGGAGGGUGCAGGCGUUACCCGGUAUAAAGGGGGUGAAAGGGUCUGUAGGCGUCUGUGGUGAAAGGCUGUGGCUUAACCAUGGAAGUGCCAUUGAUACUGCAGAGCUUGAAUGAGGUUGAGGUUGGCGGAAUGUGACAUGUAGCGGUGAAAUGCUUAGAUAUGUCAUGGAACACCGAUUGCGAAGGCAGCUGACUGGACCUAUAUUGACGCUGAGGCACGAAAGCGUGGGGAGCGAACAGGAUUAGAUACCCUAGUAGUC
rnacentral:rRNA from 1 species